rnacentral:rRNA from 1 species
UACGUAGGGUGCGAGCGUUGUCCGGAAUUACUGGGCGUAAAGAGCUCGUAGGUGGUUUGUCGCGUUGUCCGUGAAAACUCACAGCUCAACUGUGGGCGUGCGGGCGAUACGGGCAGACUGGAGUACUGCAGGGGAGACUGGAAUUCCUGGUGUAGCGGUGGAAUGCGCAGAUAUCAGGAGGAACACCGGUGGCGAAGGCGGGUCUCUGGGCAGUAACUGACGCUGAGGAGCGAAAGCUAGGGGAGCAAACGGG